GUCCUAGCUGUAAACGAUGGGUACUGGGUAUGGGUCGUCCCUAUGCGAUCCUUGCCGGAGCAAAUGUAUUAAGUACCCCGCCUGGGGAGUAUGGUCGCAAGGCUAAAACUCAAAGGAAUUGACGGGGGCUCACACAAGCGGUGGAGGAUGUGGUUUAAUUCGAAGCAACGCGCAGAACCUUACCUGGGUUUGAAAUGUACGGAUUAGGCUCCUGAAAGGGAGUUGACGCCGCAAGGUGGAACGUACACAGGUGUUGCAUGGCU
rnacentral:rRNA from 1 species